GGGGGUGUAGCUCAGCAGCAGAGCCCAUGCUUCCCAUGUAUGAGGCCCCAGGUUCAAUCCCUGGCAUCUCCA